GCAUAUCAAUAAGCGGAGGAAAAGAAACUAACAAGGAUUCCCCUAGUAACUGCGAGUGAAGCGGGAAAAGCUCAAAUUUAAAAUCUGGCAGUCUUUGGCUGUCCGAGUUGUAGUCUGGAGAAGCGUUUUCCGCGCUGGACCGUGUAUAAGUCCCUUGGAAUAGGGCGUCAUAGAGGGUGAGAAUCCCGUCUUUGACACGGACUACCAGUGCUUUGUGAUGCGCUCUCAAAGAGUCGAGUUGUUUGGGAAUGCAGCUCAAAAUGGGUGGUAAAUUCCAUCUAAAGCUAAAUAUUGGCGAGAGACCGAUAGCGAACAAGUACCGUGAGGGAAAGAUGAAAAGCACUUUGGAAAGAGAGUUAAACAGUACGUGAAAUUGCUGAAAGGGAAACGCUUGAAGUCAGUCGCGUUAUUCAGAACUCAGCCUGGCUUUUGCUUGGUGUAUUUUCUGUAUGACGGGCCAGCAUCAAUUUUGGCCGCUGGAAAAAGGCUCUAGAAAUGUGGCACCUCCGGGUGUGUUAUAGUCUAGGGUCAUAUACAGCGGCUGGGAUUGAGGUCUGCAGCACGCCUUUAUGGCUGGGGUUCGCCCACAUUCGUGCUUAGGAUGCUGGCGUAAUGGCUUUAAACGACCCGUCUUGAAACACGGACCAAGGAGUCUAACAUGCCUGCGAGUGUUUGGGUGGAAAACCCGAGCGCGUAAUGAAAGUGAAAGUUGAGAUCCCUGUCGUGGGGAGCAUCGACGCCCGGACCAGACCUUUUGUGACGGAUCUGCGGUAGAGCAUGUAUGUUGGGACCCGAAAGAUGGUGAACUAUGCCUGAAUAGGGUGAAGCCAGAGGAAACUCUGGUGGAGGCUCGUAGCGAUUCUGACGUGCAAAUCGAUCGUCAAAUUUGGGCCUCAUCUUCCUAGCCAACCAACCU
rnacentral:rRNA from 1 species